rnacentral:rRNA from 1 species
CCUACGGGAGGCAGCAGUGAGGAAUAUUGGUCAAUGGACGAGAGUCUGAACCAGCCAAGUAGCGUGAAGGAUGACUGCCCUAUGUGUUGUAAACUUCUUUUAUAAAGGAAUAAAACGAGGCACGUGUGCCUUUUUGCAUGUACUUUAUGAAUAAGGAUCGGCUAACUCCGUGCCAGCAGCCGCGGUAAUACGGAGGAUCCGAGCGUUAUCCGGAUUUAUUGGGUUUAAAGGGAGCGUAGAUGGGUUGUUAAGUCAGUUGUGAAAGUUUGCGGCUCAACCGUAAAAUUGCAAUUGAUACUGGCAGUCGUGAGUACAGUUGAGGUAGGCGGAAUUCGUGGUGUAGCGGUGAAAUGCUUAGAUAUCACGAAGAACCCCGAUUGUGAAGGCAGCUUACUAAACUGUGACUGACAUUGAUGCUCGAAAGUGUGGGUAUCAAACAGGAUUAGAUACCCCAGUAGUC